AUCUGGUUAUGUUUUUAUAGCUGUCACUCAGCCAAGACUUGCUCCUUCUAAGACUUGGGUUGAGGAAUUGUAUCUUUUCCACAUCACAAGUACUACAGCAAGAAGACUCUGAAGGUAGUGUCCUCAACUACUAAAGGAAGACAGAAUGUCUGGUUGUUUGCAUAUCAGACAAGCUGGAACACAGCCUUUAUUAGGCUGAAGGCAGGAUCUUGGUGAAGAGACCAUAUUCCAUGACCAUCCCAUCAGGUUGAAGAACCAUCCUGUACUUCUAGAAGGUGAAAUGGCUGAAGCUGACAGGGACAGACAAAGAUACAAAGAAAAUUUUCCUUGCCCUGCAAGGUAGAGCUGAGUUUUCUGGAAAAUAGCAGUGAAGGUGUAUAUGCUAGACAGCACAUUGUUUUAAUCUCAACACCUUUCACCCUUUUGUAUGUUCGCCACUAAAAAGGAACUGUGAAGCAAACAGAAAAUAACCAAUGAUCCAAACAACCUUCACCUGGUCAGUGGAGGCAGCAG
rnacentral:lncRNA from 1 species